rnacentral:rRNA from 1 species
CCUACGGGAGGCAGCAGUGGGGGAUAUUGCACAAUGGGGGAAACCCUGAUGCAGCGACGCCGCGUGAGUGAAGAAGGAUUUCGGUAUGUAAAGCUCUAUCAGCAGGGAAGAAAAUGACAGUACCUGACCAAGCAGCCCCGGCUAACUACGUGCCAGCAUCCGCGGUCAUACGUAGGGGGCAAGCGUUAACCGGAUUUACUGGGUGAAAAGGGGGCGUAGGCGGGUAGGUAAGUCUGGAGUGAAAGCCCGGGGCCCAACCCCGGGACUGAUUUGGAAACUGGGUAACUGGAGUACAGGAGGGGCAGGCGGAAUUCCUGGUGUAGCGGUGAAAUGCGUAGAUAUCAGGAGGAACCCCGGUGGCGAAGGCGGCCUGCUGGACUGCAACUGACGUUGAGGCUCGAAAGCGUGGGGAGCAAACAGGAUUAGAUACCCCGGUAGUC